rnacentral:lncRNA from 1 species
AUCAGGGUUCAGCACCUCGCCCCCUUUGCUCGGCCCGGGGCUGCCUCCCGGGGCCGGGAGCGGGGGAACGCAGCCCGUGGGCCCUCGGGGCUGUCAGAGCUGAGGCUGAACCCUGAUCCCGGCCUGGCCCGGUGCCCGCAGCCCAGCCAGACCUAAUCUGGGUCCGCGCGCUGCCCAUGGUUAAUGAGCUUCCCCGUGGUUCCUCCAAGGCUCCUUUGUGGCUGUAAUCAAAGCCUGGGGCUGAGGGAAACGCGCUGCUGCCUGUAUUCAUGCCUCAGAGCCAGGGAAUCCCCGUCGCCGCCCGCCUGGCCGGACCCUUCAUA